ACCUUUCUUUCUCAAAAACCCCUCACGCGGCCAAUGCUUCUCGCACCGAUCCUCAUCCCCGAGCCUCACCCAACGAUGCCGCCGAGCUCUCUAUCUCUUCUCCCUCACGAGACUCUUCUCCACCGCUGCUGCCUUCUCCGUGCCACCUCUUGACCCAAUCGGCGCCGACCCCUUGCCCUAGCCGUCGCACAAGCAGAGAAAAGGAGCCACGACCGCCCCUUCGCGCCGACCGCCCCUUCGCGCCGACCGCCUGCAGCCGCGGGUCAUCGCCGGAGAAGAAGACACUCCUUCUCUUCUCCCUCGAGCCACGGCUGCGACUCCCUUUCCCUCAGGCGAGCACCAGAGGCGCAACUCUUCCCGAUCCCCUCCCUCUCCCUCUCGCGGCGUUGUGCCCUAGCAGUAAUCUUGGAGGGACCAUCUGUGGACUGAUUGAGGUUUGUUAGGAGAUGGCUUGUACUCCUUGUUGCAGCUGAACGUGAGUACAGUUUGUUGUUGGUAUUAGAUGUGGACGUUGAUUGAAGACGGUUGACACGAUCUGCAUAUAAAGGC